rnacentral:rRNA from 1 species
GAAAAGCACUCUGAAGAGAGAGUCAAAAGACCGUGAAACCGCUCAGAGUAUAAGCCAAUGGAGCUUGGAAGGCUUCCGCAGAAAAGAGUUCAUCCUUUGAGGUGUUCUUAGACCUAUGAGUAUGGUUCGUCAGGCGUAGCAUUGAGUUUGCCAGGUUUAGCUGUCGUGCGGGGGAUUGGCUUCGGGGGGGGUAGGCUUCGGCCUGCAGUGCUUCCGACCAUCCUUUUUGAAUGGACGUUCAGAGCUCUUGUGUCUUAUGCGGUAAUGCCCACCACAGCACGUUGUGAGGUCACCCACAGGCUCAAACUGCCGAUCGCGCAUCCAGGACGAUGGCAACGAUGCGUUGUCGAGUGAGCAAUCACUCACACGCGUGUCUAGUCCUGGGUCGGGCGGCGACCGAGAUAAACCUGGUAUGAUCCUCUUGCGACGAGCUGCUUUCUGGCCAGACCGACGCCCGGACUCCUCCACUGUGCCGGAGGGGUCAACCCCAGGCGGUGUGAACCCAGCUGCAUUAUGCAAGGUCUCUCAGCCGGGAAUCGGUCUGAGUGGUGUUAAGUCCAGCACCAUCGGUCACGUCUCGAAACACGGGCCAAGGAGUAUAGCAUGUGUGCAAGUCUAAGGGUCUCACAAAACCCGAAGGCGAAGUGAAAGCAAGGCUGUGGCGGGGGAGCUACGGCAAACCUGCCGGUUGGAUAACGCUUGCGUUGUCCAGCUUUAAGCAGAGCUGAUCCUGUUUUCUCGGUUAAUUCUUGGUGCAGGCGCAAGCUCCGGGCUCACGUAUAACACUGGUCACGCCUUGCGUGUGGCUGUGUUGUGAGCACCGUGGAGCAUGCAUGCUAU